GAUGAACGCUAGCUACAGGCUUAACACAUGCAAGUCGAGGGGAAACGGCAUUGAGUGCUUGCACUCUUUGGACGUCGACCGGCGCACGGGUGAGUAACGCGUAUCCAACCUUCCCAUUACUGUGGGAUAACCUGCCGAAAGGCAGACUAAUACCGCAUAGUCUUCGAUGACGGCAUCAGAUUUGAAGUAAAGAUUUAUCGGUAAUGGAUGGGGAUGCGUCUGAUUAGCUUGUUGGCGGGGUAACGGCCCACCAAGGCUACGAUCAGUAGGGGUUCUGAGAGGAAGGUCCCCCACAUUGGAACUGAGACACGGUCCAAACUCCUACGGGAGGCAGCAGUGAGGAAUAUUGGUCAAUGGACGGAAGUCUGAACCAGCCAAGUAGCGUGCAGGAUGACGGCCCUAUGGGUUGUAAACUGCUUUUGUAUGGGGAUAAAGUUAGGGACGUGUCCCUAUUUGCAUGUACCAUACGAAUAAGGACCGGCUAAUUCCGU
rnacentral:rRNA from 1 species